CAACUUUCAGCAACGGAUCUCUUGGCUCUCGCAUCGAUGAAAGAACGCAGC
rnacentral:rRNA from 1 species